rnacentral:rRNA from 1 species
GGAUUAGGCAUGCAAGUCGCACGAGAAAGGUUUCUUCGGAAGCCGAGUACAGUGGCGAACGGGUGAGUAAUGCAUAGACAACUCGCCCUUGAGAUGGGGACAACGCCUCGAAAGGGGUGCUAAUACCCAAUGCCGCCUUGGGCCUGCGGGUCCAGGGUGAAAGGAGGCCUCUGAUUCAAGCUUCCGCUCAAGGAGAGGUUUAUGUCCUAUUAGCUAGUUGGCGGGGUAACGGCCCACCAAGGCUGCGAUGGGUAGCCGACCUGAGAGGGUGACCGGCCACAUUGGGACUGAGACACUGCCCAGACUCCUACGGGAGGCUGCAGUCGAGAAUCUUCCGCAAUGCGCGCAAGCGUGACGGAGCGACGCCGCGUGGGUGAUGAAGGCCUUCGGGUUGUAAAACCCUGUCAGCUACUACGAAACACGGGCGAUGAACAAUCGUCCCGUCUGACUUAAGUAGCAGAGGAAGCACCGGCUAACUACGUGCCAGCAGCCGCGGUAAUACGUAGGGUGCAAACGUUGUUCGGAAUCACUGGGCAUAAAGGGCGCGUGGGCGGUCUGAUAAGUCAGGUGUGAAAUCCCUCGGCCUAACCGAGGAACUGCAUUUGAUACUGUCGGGCUAGAGUACAGGAGGGGGAGAGUGGAAUUCCUGGUGGAGCGGUGAAAUGCGUAGAUAUCAGGAGGAACGCCGGCGGCGAAAGCGACUCUCUGGCCUGUUACUGACGCUGAGGCGCGAAAGCUAGGGGAGCAAACGGGAUUAGAUACCCCGGUAGUCCUAGCCCUAAACGAUGGGCACUAAGUAGAGGGGUUUU